AGUGAACGCUGGCGGUAUGCCUAACACAUGCAAGUCGAACGGCAGCACAGUAAGAGCUUGCUCUUACGGGUGGCGAGUGGCGGACGGGUGAGGAAUACAUCGGAAUCUACUUUUUCGUGGGGGAUAACGUAGGGAAACUUACGCUAAUACCGCAUACGACCUACGGGUGAAAGCAGGGGAUCUUCGGACCUUUCGCGAUUGAAUGAGCCGAUGUCGGAUUAGCUAGUUGGCGGGGUAAAGGCCCACCAAGGCGACGAUCCGUAGCUGGUCUGAGAGGAGGAUCAGCCACACUGGAACUGAGACACGGUCCAGACUCCUACGGGAGGCAGCAGUGGGGAAUCUUGGACAAUGGGCGCAAGCCUGAUCCAGCCAUACCGCGUGGGUGAAGAAGGCCUUCGGGUUGUAAAGCCCUUUUGUUGGGAAAGAAAAGCAGCAGGUUAAUACCCCGCUGUUCUGACGGUACCCAAAGAAUAAGCACCGGCUAACUUCGUG
rnacentral:rRNA from 1 species